rnacentral:rRNA from 1 species
UACAGAGGGGGCAAGCGUUGUUCGGAAUUACUGGGCGUAAAGGGCGCGUAGGCGGCCUUCUAAGUCGAACGUGAAAUCCCCGGGCUCAACCCGGGAACUGCGUCCGAUACUGGAAGGCUUGAAUCCGGGAGAGGGAUGCGGAAUUCCAGGUGUAGCGGUGAAAUGCGUAGAUAUCUGGAGGAACACCUGUGGCGAAAGCGGCGCACUGGACCACAUCUGACGCUGAGGCGCGAAAGCUAGGGGAGCAAACAGG